AUACCCUAUUAUUAAUUUUUAAUUAUUCUUGAUUAUUAUUAGUUAUGUUCUUUAAAAAUCAAAGAUUUUGGCGGUUAAUUAUCUUUUUAGAGGAACAUGUAAAUUAAUUGAUAUUCCACGAUAUUUUCUACCAUUAGUUUUAUUUGUAUAUCUUUAUUGUAAGAAUAUUAUUAAAUUAAUUUUCUUUAUCUAUAAGAGAUUAAUUUUAGGUCAAGGUGCAGUUUUACUUUGGUUUCUUAUGUGUUACUAUAAUUUUAAAUAUUUUUUUUAUUCUUUUUGAUUAAAUAUAGGAUUUAAUAGUAAAUUUAAUUAAUUAAUUAUUUUAAAUUUAGCUCUAAUUAAUGUACACAUC
rnacentral:rRNA from 1 species